rnacentral:rRNA from 1 species
GAUAACUAGUCGAAAGAUUAGCUAAUACCGCAUAAGACCACAGGAGCUGCGGCUCUAGGGGUCAAAGGUUUUUCGCUCUAAGAUGAGUCCGCGUAAGAUUAGCUAGUUGGUGAGGUAACGGCUCACCAAGGCGACGAUCUUUAACUGGUCUGAGAGGAUGAUCAGUCACACUGGAACUGAGACACGGUCCAGACUCCUACGGGAGGCAGCAGUAGGGAAUAUUGCACAAUGGAGGAAACUCUGAUGCAGCGACGCCGCGUGAGUGAUGAAGGCCUUCGGGUCGUAAAGCUCUGUCGCAGGGGAAUAACACAAUGAAUGUACCCUGUAAGAAAGGAUCGGCUAACUUCGUGCCAGCAGCCGCGGUAAGACGAGGGAUCCUAGCGUUGUUCGGAAUUAUUGGGCGUAAAGCGGAUGUAGGUGGCUUUGUAAGUCAGAUGUGAAAGCCCAGGGCUCAACCCUGGAAGUGCAUUUGAUACUGCGAAGCUUGAGUGUCGGAGAGGUUACUAGAAUUGUUGGUGUAGUGGUGAAAUACGUAGAUAUCAACAGGAAUACCGGAGGCGAAGGCGGGUAACUGGCCGAACACUGACACUGAGAUCCGAAAGCGUGGGGAUCAAACAGGAUUAGAUACCCUGGUAGUCCACGCCGUAAACGAUGGAUACUUGUUGUUGGAGGUAUUGACCCCUUCAGUGACGAAGCUAACGCGUUAAGUAUCCCGCCUGGGGAGUACGGUCGCAAGAUUAAAACUCAAAGAAAUUGACGGGGGCCCGCACAAGCGGUGGAGCAUGUGGUUUAAUUCGAUGCAACGCGAAGAACCUUACCUAGGCUUGACAUGUACUGGAAGACUGGCAGAAAUGUCGUCGCCCGCAAGGGUCGGUACACAGGUGCUGCAUGGCUGUCGUCAGCUCGUGUCGUGAGAUGUUGGGUUAAGUCCCGCAACGAGCGCAACCCCUGCAUUUAGUUGCCAGCAUUCAGUUGGGCACUCUAGAUGGACUGCCGGUGUUAAACCGGAGGAAGGUGGGGAUGACGUC